AGAGUUUGAUCCUGGCUCAGGACGAACGCUGGCGGCGUGCUUAACACAUGCAAGUCGAACGGAAAGGCCCUGCUUUUGUGGGGUGCUCGAGUGGCGAACGGGUGAGUAACACGUGAGUAACCUGCCCUUGACUUUGGGAUAACUUCAGGAAACUGGGGCUAAUACCGGAUAGGAGCUCCUGCUGCAUGGUGGGGGUUGGAAAGUUUCGGCGGUUGGGGAUGGACUCGCGGCUUAUCAGCUUGUUGGUGGGGUAGUGGCUUACCAAGGCUUUGACGGGUAGCCGGCCUGAGAGGGUGACCGGCCACAUUGGGACUGAGAUACGGCCCAGACUCCUACGGGAGGCAGCAGUGGGGAAUAUUGCACAAUGGGCGGAAGCCUGAUGCAGCAACGCCGCGUGCGGGAUGACGGCCUUCGGGUUGUAAACCGCUUUCGCCUGUGACGAAGUGUGAGUGACGGUAAUGGGUAAAGAAGCACCGGCUAACUACGUG
rnacentral:rRNA from 1 species